rnacentral:tRNA from 1 species
AGGGAGGAUUUAAGUUAAGCUGCUAACUUAACUCUCAAUUUUAGUUUAUUGCCUUUCUG